CUUCAGACUGAAGGCAAACUUUUUCGCCUCACCCCCAGUGUGGAUUCAAAAAUUAACAGCAAUGAAACAGGUGUCCAUUGCAUGUAAAGUUAGAUAUUAGGACAAUCUGUCUGGGCACCAACCAUGGUAGUGCCUUGCAAUCAUGGGAGUCGGACCCACUAAGUUUAACAAGCUUGCUACCCCCUGAGUGACCCAGUUGUGGUAUUUACAUAAACAUACCAUGCAAAUACACUUAACUGAUCAGAUUCAGUCUAUCAACGCACAAUGUAACACUGUAUAUCCAAAAACCUGUUUCAGAAAAUGCUCACAUUUCAGUUCUAGGGGUGGAAAAAUACAAAAAAUUUUCUGGGGGAGAAUCUCCGGACCCCCUUACUAGUACAUACGAUACUACACCAAACUUUUUGUCACCAACAACCAUCUGUCAUCUCUCCACACUCAAUAUAGUAUGGUCCCUUUUUGUAGAUGCCUACCCCCGAGCAGGGAAAUUUUGAAAAUUUUGAGUCUCUAGAUCGUUGGAAAUAGCAUUUUCAGAGUCUUCUUUGUUGCUAUUUGUGAUUAUAGAAAUCAGAACUCUAGACAUGGUAUUUAAGUUCAAAAACUUUUAUGACCCCCCCUCCCCCAUUCUCUG